GUGUUGGGGAGCUGAUCCUACAGAUCCCUCAGACCCCACAGGAGAAGUAAGGAGCUGAUCCCACAGAUCCCACAGGAGGGGUGAGGAGCAGAUCCUACACAUCCCACAGGAGAGGUGGAGAGCUGAUCCUACAGGCAGAAGAGGAGCUGAUCCCACUGACCCUACAAGUAAUAAGGGGAACUGACCCCACAGACCCUACAGGAAGGGUGAGGAGCUGAUGCCACAGAUCCCAUAGGAGGAGGAGCUGAUCCUACAGGCAGAAGGGGAGCUGACCCCACAGACCCUACAGGUAAAAGGGGAGCUGACCCCACAAAGCCCACAGGUAAAAGGGGAGCUGACCCCACAGACCCUACAGGAGGGGUGGGGAGCUGAUCCUACAGGCAGAAGGCGAGCAGAUCCCACAGAUCCUACAGGAAAAAGGGCAGCUGACCCCACAGAGCCCACAGGAGCAGGGGAGCUGACCCCACAGACCCUACAGAAAGGGUGGAGAGUUGAUCCUACAGGCAGAAGAGGGGCAGAUCCCACAGAUCCUACAGGAAAAAGAGGAGCUGACCCCACAGGUAUGAGGGCAGCUGACCCCACAGAGCCCACAGCAGCAGGGUGGGCACAGGCAGUGCCCGCUGUGCCCGCCAUGCCAGCCAUGAUCCCUGGGGCUCUGUGAGGGCACAGGAGGGAGGGGAGGGGAGGGAAGGAACACCCAGGGCUGGCUCAGGGCAAUCCUCUGCUCACCCCAACAAUCUCACGUUACAUUAUCUGUUAUUUUGGGGUUUUUUUUCCUUGCAAAAAUCCAUAAUAAAACCAUUUCCCACCAUACCCAAUGAACAGCAGGUUUCAAAAUGAUUUUCCAAUUUCUCCUCCCUGUUCUGCCCCUCUAGAGAAGGAAUAAAAGGGUGAGUGGACAUGGGAAAGCUGAAGGCUGAAAACCUGAAUUUCUCUGGAAUGGGCUGCAAUUAAGAGUUUUCUAUCCAGCAGAGACAAAACAUCUGAAGGAUUUUUUAUAAAAUCAAAGACACUGGAGCAUCUCAGAAUUUCUUGAUUGUUUUCCAUGAAAAACGUGCCUAAAUCCAAAAAACACAGGAUUCCUCCCUGUGCUCCAUCCUCCUCCUCCUCUGGAAUUAUUUUUGCUGAGACUAAACUCAUCUUAAAUCUGUUCAAACAAAACUUGAUUAUUUUUUUUUUCUCCACAUAUUCCAAAUAUAGAAGAAUAAUUUUAAACAGCUCUUACCAGCACUGGGGGAAAAAAAUCUAAUUCUACUUGAGGAUUUGUAAGUAUGGUUUUUUUUCCACAGAUCAGUCUCAAACCUUAUUGCUUCACAACUGCAGUAUCCCUUGGGAAAAAAAAUAAAAUAAAAUAUUGGAAAAAAAUCAUAUAUUGAAAAAAAAAUCAUAUAUUGGAAAGAAAUCAAAUAUUGAAUAAAAAUCCAAUAUUGAAUAGAAAUCGAAUGUUGAAUAGAAAUCCAAUAUUGAAUAGAAAUCCAAUAUUGAACAGAAAUCCAAUAUUGAACAGAAAUCCAAUAUUGAACAGAAAUCCAAUGGUUUGUUCUAAUUUGUCUCAAAUGGCUUUUCAGAUUUGGCAGGGGAGGGAGAACAGAAUGACCAACAGAGAACAUUCUGACUUGAAAAUCUCACUGUAGAGAAGGGUUUUUCUCUUAUUAAAAAAGAAUUUCACUGGAUUAACCAGCUGAAAAUAAAGAUAGCAUUCAAAGCCCAUGAGUCAAGCCACAGCCAAAACCGUGUUCUACCCCUAAGUGUUGUUUUCUUUUCCUUUUUCUUUUUUUUUUUCCUCUUUUUUUUU